GGGAGGCAAGACGCUGGAAGACUGGUAAAGCCACAAACCACGUGGCAAGAUACAGAUGAAUAGAAAUGGGUUAAUUUAAGUUGUAGGAGCUGGUUAGUCAUAAGCCUGAGCUAUAAGCUGAGCGUUCUGGAGCUCAUAUAAGCUUUUGCGUGUUUAUUUGGGACCGGGUGAUCAGAACUAAAGAAAAGCUCCACCUCUGUUUCCAUAUGGCCCUCCAACAUGGUGCACGGAUGUCCACAUAAAGCCUGCAAAAGCUUUAAAGACCUCAGCCACGUGACUGGCAGCGUAAUCACAAAUGGAAACACAUCUACCACCUGGGGAUCUGUUUCUGGAUGCAAAACCAUGAAACUCCAUACCCAGCGAGCAUCUGGGCCCCACUGAAGCUCUGGGUACUGAUAACUACUCCAGUUUCCAAGACUAAAUAACUGAUGCAGGAGCAUAGUGGCCCAAUGUUCAGCCAUAAAUUGAAGACAAUAAUCAGAUAUCCAUGUCAUUCCUUCCAAAGCUCUAUAAACACCACAGAAGAGGAUGUGGAAAGAAGAUAAGAAUGAGAAGAGAAGUGAACUAUCGUGCAGUUGUUUCCACCAAAUGGAAUCAUUUCUUCCUUGAGAGAAAAGGAAGCAGUUUAGGACUCUGGAAGUAAACCAAUUCACAAGGCCCAGGAAGUUCCUGAAACUUGCAAGAAACACAAGAUCCCUCCUUAAAAUUAUAAAAAUGGUGACUGUUGUUGCAGAAAGAGACUGAAGUUGAAUAAAUGACUGCAAGUUAGUCAGAGCUCCAAGAUACACCCUUGAUGAGUAAUCACCCAUACUGGCUUGGGUUGUUGGCUCAUGAAACUGCCUUUAAAUCACCAAUGCUCCUGUAAGUAACCCUUACAAAUGCCCUUGUAAGUAGCUACAAUAAGCAUACAAGUUCACUAGGCUAGACAUAGAUGGAACCAUUUCUUUGGUCUGUAAUUAGAUACCUAUCUGUGGUGAAUAGAUGUUUUUUGCAUAGCUCUGUAGGGCAAGUCAUGUAACAGGGUCAUUUUUCCUUUCCUAUGGUCAAAAUGUCAUUUUCAAAUGUUAAUAGCAGGCCUCUCAGGGGUUGCAGAGAUGUCUCAGUGGUUAAGAGGAUAAACAUCCAUGUUAGAUGGUUCACAAUUACCUGUAACUCCAGUCCUAGAGGAUCUUAUGCCCUUUUGUGACCUCCACACACUCAAUACACACAUACACACACACACAAACACACAAAUAAAAAUAAAAUCUUAAAAAAAAACAGGUCUUCUAUAGAAUGUGUACACAUCAAAGAGCUGUACAUCAAUUGAUGAGGAAGAAGCAAAAUAUAAUACUUCUUCAAAGAAUCUAGCAUGCACAGAGAUAUUGACAGCCAGAAAACAGUAGUAAUGAAGUAAGAAACAAAACUAAUUAGUGAUCUGGUCAAUAAAAGUAUAACCUUUGAAAAGUAUGAUUUCUUGAGUGAAAUAUUCUUUGUAUGAAACAAAAUAAUUGCAUUGUAGUCCAAUAAGAAUAACAAUUUAUAAAAUCUAAUCAGUAGUAAACAGUGAUUCUAAUACUUAUAUAUGCCUCCAGAAAUGAGCUCAUCCUUGGGUGGACCGUAGAGAUGCUGUUCCAGGCUAACACCCACAAGGCAUGUGGUCAUUCUGUUUCUUACUUCCAAGUUGUUGGUCUUUUCCCCCUAAUGCUAUAAUAAACAAAUGGUCUCAAGCACCAACUCACAGAAGUCCAUUCCACUUCACUGUUCAGAGGACUCUUAGAUUCCUUCCGUCUUUACUCUGCUUCUCCGCCUAUGUUGGUUAAUGUUAUGUACCUACCUGGCCAAUUUCUGGCAACCAUGAAUCUAGGUGCUUGUGGAAAAGUACUUUGUGAAUGUGCUUAAACUUCCCAGCCAGUAGACAUCAACAGCCUAAAGGACUGGAAAGUCUUCAGGCCCUGAGAGCAGAACUGAAAUUCCUUGGAGGGAGAAGUAAAUCUGCCUUAAGUCACAGCACCAGCUCCAGAUGGAGCCUGCAGCCUGCUGGCCGUCCCAAUAGAUUUCAGACUUUCUGGCUCCCUCAGACACAUGCACCAAUUCCCGGAAAUAAAUCUCCAAAGACAACCCCCCCACUAGUUCUAUUUCUAUCCAGAGAGCUUGACUAAUGUACUGCUCUUGUGAAUACUAUACCCCUCCCUCCAGCCAGCCCUCUGCUUCCAGUGGUACAGUCCUCAUGCUGGGCACCAUUUCACCUCAGUGACCCAUUGGUGGUGUCUCUAACCUUAAAAGAUGUCUGGUGACAAGGGAGGCUAAUACAGCAGAGUAGGGAAGGGACUCCUAGAUAUUGUUGUUGCUGUUGACUUCUCCUAACACUACUCAUAAUUUCCUUGAUUCUAACUAAACUGCUACCAUAUUAGAUCCAUCUUCUCCUCACCUCUGUACCACAGCACUUUCUUUGGAUCUCAGACAUUUGAUCUUCAAUCUCAUUUAACUGCCAAAAGGAAGCUUAAAAUAGCCACCACUCAAUGAUACAAAGAAUAUGAAUUUCAUGGGGAGAAGUAUUUUUAUCUGUUGUACUUCCUGAUAAUACCAAGAAUGAUGGCAGGCAGUAAGGUAGUCAGUACACAUUUGUUGACUGGAUAAAUGGAGUUAAUGACAAGAAUACAAAGCCUUCUUUUCUCAAUGACUUUGAUUCCA